rnacentral:rRNA from 1 species
AACGAACGCUGGCGGCAUGCCUAACACAUGCAAGUCGAACGAGACCUUCGGGUCUAGUGGCGCACGGGUGCGUAACGCGUGGGAAUCUGCCCUUUGCUUCGGAAUAACAGUUAGAAAUGACUGCUAAUACCGGAUGAUGUCUUCGGACCAAAGAUUUAUCGGCAAAGGAUGAGCCCGCGUAGGAUUAGGUAGUUGGUGGGGUAAAGGCCUACCAAGCCGACGAUCCUUAGCUGGUCUGAGAGGAUGAUCAGCCACACUGGGACUGAGACACGGCCCAGACUCCUACGGGAGGCAGCAGUGGGGAAUAUUGGACAAUGGGCGAAAGCCUGAUCCAGCAAUGCCGCGUGAGUGAUGAAGGCCUUCGGGUCGUAAAGCUCUUUUACCAGGGAUGAUAAUGACAGUACCUGGAGAAUAAGCUCCGGCUAACUCCGUG